rnacentral:tRNA from 4 species
UAUUCAACUACUAAAACUAACCA